rnacentral:rRNA from 1 species
GACAGAGGCCUCAAGCGUUAGGCGGAAUCACUGGGCUUAAAGCGUGUGUAGGCGGAUCGUUAAGUGCCUUGUGAAAUCCCACGGCUUAACUGUGGAACGGCUGGGCAUACUGGCGGUCUUGAGCCAUCUAGGGGCGACUGGAACAAACGGUGGAGCGGUGAAAUGCGUAGAUAUCUGGAGGAACACCGGUGGCGAAAGCGGUUCACUGGCCCGACACUGACACUGAGGUGCGAAAGCUAGGGUAGCAAACGGG